rnacentral:rRNA from 1 species
UCGCGUCUGCCGUGAAAACCCGAGGCUCAACCUCGGGCGUGCGGUGGGUACGGGCAGGCUAGAGUGUGGUAGGGGAGACUGGAACUCCUGGUGUAGCGGUGAAAUGCGCAGAUAUCAGGAAGAACACCGAUGGCGAAGGCAGGUCUCUGGGCCAUUACUGACACUGAGAAGCGAAAGCAUGGGUAGCGAACAGGAUUAGAUACCCUGGUAGUCCAUGCCGUAAACGUUGGGCACUAGGUGUGGGGGACAUUCCACGUUUUCCGCGCCGUAGCUAACGCAUUAAGUGCCCCGCCUGGGGAGUACGGCCGCAAGGCUAAAACUCAAAGGAAUUGACGGGGGCCCGCACAAGCGGCGGAGCAUGCUGAUUAAUUCGAUGCAACGCGAAGAACCUUACCAAGGCUUGACAUGCACUGGGACGGCUGCAGAGAUGUGGCUUUCUUUGGACUGGUGCACAGGUGGGUGCAUGGUUUGUCGUCAGCUCGUGUCGUGAGAUGUUGGGUUAAGUCCCGCAACGAGCGCAACCCUCGUUCUAUGUUGCCAGCACGUAAUGGUGGGGACUCAUAGGAGACUGGCCGGGGUCAACUCGGAGGGAGGGGGGGACGACGUCAAUCAUCAUGCCCUUAUGUCUUGGGGCUUCCAAGGCAAUGCUAACAAUG